rnacentral:tRNA from 1 species
UGCGGGGUGGAGCAGCCCGGUAGCUCGUCAGGCUCAUAACCUGAAGGUCCCUGGUUCAAAUCCAGGCCCCGCUACCA